rnacentral:rRNA from 1 species
CGAACGCACCUUCGGGUGUUAUUAGAGUGGCGGACGGGUGAGUAACACGUGGGAACAUGCCUUUCGGUACGGAACAACGCUUGGAAACGAGUGCUAAUACCGUAUACGCCCUUAGGGGGAAAGAUUUAUCGCCGAAAGAUUGGCCCGCGCUAGAUUAGCUAGUUGGUAAGGUAAUGGCUUACCAAGGCGACGAUCUAUAGCUGGUUUGAGAGGAUGAUCAGCCACACUGGGACUGAGACACGGCCCAGACUCCUACGGGAGGCAGCAGUGGGGAAUAUUGGACAAUGGGGGCAACCCUGAUCCAGCGAUGCCGCGUGAGUGAUGAAGGCCUUAGGGUUGUAAAACUCUUUCAGAUGGGAUGAUAAUGACAGUACCAUCAGAAGAAGCUCCGGCUAACUCCGUGCCAGCAGCCGCGGUAAUACGGAGGGAGCUAGCGUUGUUCGGAAUUACUGGGCGUAAAGCGCGCGUAGGCGGCUUUGCAAGUAGGGGGUGAAAUCCCGGGGCUUAACCCCGGAACUGCCCUCUAAACUGCAGAGCUAGAAUCCUGGAGAGGUGAGUGGAAUUCCUAGUGUAGAGGUGAAAUUCGUAGAUAUUAGGAAGAACACCAGUGGC